rnacentral:rRNA from 1 species
CCUACGGGCGGCAGCAGUGGGGAAUCUUCCACAAUGGGGGAAACCCUGAUGCAGCGACACCGCGUGAGUGAGGAAGUAUUUCGGUAUGUAAAGCUCUAUCAGCAGGGAAGAAAAUGACGGUAACUGACUAAGAAGCCCCGGCUAACUACGUGCCAGCAACCGCGGUAAUACGUAGGGGGCAAGCGUUCUCCGGAUUUACUGGGUGUAACGGGAGCGUAGACGGUUAAUCAAGACAGAAGUGAAAGCCCAGGGCUCAACCUGGGGACUGCUUUUGAAACUGAGUAGCUAGAGUGCAGUAGAGGUGAGCGGAAUUCCUAGUGUAGCGGUGAAAUGCGUAGAUAUUAGGAGGAACACCAGUGGCGAAGGCGGCUUACUGGACUGUAACUGACGUUGAGGCUCGAAAGCGUGGGGAGCAAACAGGAUUAGAUACCCCUGUAGUC